AGAGUUUGAUCCUGGCUCAGGACGAACGCUGGCGGCGUGCCUAAUACAUGCAAGUAGAACGCUGAAGAGAGGAGCUUGCUCUUCUUGGAUGAGUUGCGAACGGGUGAGUAACGCGUAGGUAACCUGCCUUGUAGCGGGGGAUAACUAUUGGAAACGAUAGCUAAUACCGCAUAACAAUGGAUGACACAUGUCAUUUAUUUGAAAGGGGCAAUUGCUCCACUACAAGAUGGACCUGCGUUGUAUUAGCUAGUAGGUGAGGUAAUGGCUCACCUAGGCGACGAUACAUAGCCGACCUGAGAGGGUGAUCGGCCACACUGGGACUGAGACACGACCCAGACUCCUACGGGAGGCAGCAGUAGGGAAUCUUCGGCAAUGGGGGCAACCCUGACCGAGCAACGCCGCGUGAGUGAAGAAGGUUUUCGGAUCGUAAAGCUCUGUUGUAAGUCAAGAACGGGUGUGAGAGUGGAAAGUUCACACUGUGACGGUAGCUUACCAGAAAGGGAUGGCUAACUACGUGCCAGCAGCCGCGGUAAUACGUAGGUCCCGAGCGUUGUCCGGAUUUAUUGGGCGUAAAGCGAGCGCAGGCGGUUUGAUAAGUCUGAAGUUAAAGGCUGUGGCUCAACCAUAGUUCGCUUUGGAAACUGUCAAACUUGAGUGCAGAAGGGGAGAGUGGAAUUCCAUGUGUAGCGGUGAAAUGCGUAGAUAUAUGGAGGAACACCGGUGGCGAAAGCGGCUCUCUGGUCUGUAACUGACGCUGAGGCUCGAAAGCGUGGGGAGCGAACAGGAUUAGAUACCCUGGUAGUCCACGCCGUAAACGAUGAGUGCUAGGUGUUGGAUCCUUUCCGGGAUUCAGUGCCGCAGCUAACGCAUUAAGCACUCCGCCUGGGGAGUACGACCGCAAGGUUGAAACUCAAAGGAAUUGACGGGGGCCCGCACAAGCGGUGGAGCAUGUGUUUUAAUUCGAAGCAACGCGAAGAACCUUACCAGGUCUUGACAUCCCGAUGCUAUUUCUAGAGAUAGAAAGUUACUUCGGUACAUCGGUGACAGGUGGUGCAUGGUUGUCGUCAGCUCGUGUCGUGAGAUGUUGGGUUAAGUCCCGCAACGAGCGCAACCCCUAUUGUUAGUUGCCAUCAUUCAGUUGGGCACUCUAGCGAGACUGCCGGUAAUAAACCGGAGGAAGGUGGGGAUGACGUCAAAUCAUCAUGCCCCUUAUGACCUGGGCUACACACGUGCUACAAUGGUUGGUACAACGAGUUGCGAGUCGGUGACGGCGAGCUAAUCUCUUAAAGCCAAUCUCAGUUCGGAUUGUAGGCUGCAACUCGCCUACAUGAAGUCGGAAUCGCUAGUAAUCGCGGAUCAGCACGCCGCGGUGAAUACGUUCCCGGGCCUUGUACACACCGCCCGUCACACCACGAGAGUUUGUAACACCCGAAGUCGGUGAGAUAACCUUUUGGAGCCAGCCGCCUAAGGUGGGACAGAUGAUUGGGGUGAAGUCGUAACAAGGUA
rnacentral:rRNA from 1 species